AACGAACGCUGGCGGCAUGCCUAACACAUGCAAGUCGAACGGUAACAGCGGAGCUUGCUCCGGCUGACGAGUGGCGCACGGGUGAGUAACGCGUGGGAACCUGCCCUGGAGUGGGGAACAACCGCUGGAAACGGCGGCUAAUACCGCAUACGCCCUUCGGGGGAAAGCUAUAUGCGCUCAAGGAUGAGCCCGCGUCGGAUUAGCUAGUUGGUGAGGUAACGGCUCACCAAGGCUACGAUCCGUAGCUGGUCUGAGAGGAUGAUCAGCCACACUGGGACUGAGACACGGCCCAGACUCCUACGGGAGGCAGCAGUGGGGAAUAUUGGACAAUGGGGGAAACCCUGAUCCAGCAAUGCCGCGUGUGUGAAGAAGGCCUUCGGGUUGUAAAGCACUUUCACUCGUGAAGAUGAUGACGGUAGCGAGAGAAGAAGCCCCGGCUAACUCCGUG
rnacentral:rRNA from 1 species